UUCUCUCAGUGUUUGUGUGGAGACAGAGCAGCGAGGGAGGCUUUCAGCCGUCUGUAACGCCAACAAAGCAAAGUCCUCUCCUUAUUUAGCUCUCAUUGUGUCUCCGUAUGAAUGAGUGAGCGUCAAAGAGAGAACGUCAGCUGGACGAGACGCCGCUGUUGUUUAUGCGUCCGUGAGCGAGGGAGCGGGACGGAAAUAGAGCUAGAUAGAGGGAGUGGAGAUAGCGAAGCGGAGAGGUGCUUCUAAUCGUUCUCAUUUUUCUGUAAUGAUCGGGGAGGAGCGGAAACGCAGAUCGGCUGUCAGUCUCGGGGAGACUCUUCUGGACGCGUUUGCACCUGUUGAGCGUAUCCGUUCACGUCCGGCGGUCAUGGCCGUCUCCACAGCGGUGUGAGAGGGAGCUGGUGUCUAUCAGGGGUCUUCCUAUCUUAACGGGAGAGAGAUGUCAUCGCUCUAUUCGCGCAGCAAGGACCUUUCCUCUCGCUCCAGAAAGUCCCUGUCGGACUCGCCGCCCUCCUCCCCGUCCCCCAGCACCAAAACUUUCAGACAAGACCGGGUGUCGAGCAGGUCAGACUCUAGUGGCGUGGAGUCUCCUUCAGACAGACUGUCAGCCCGGAGCAGCACAUACACACGCAGAGAAAACAGACUCGCCUCCCUGAGCAAGACAGAGGACGACUCGGCCAGCAAGGACUAUAAGAAGCUGUAUGAGGACGCGCUGACUGAGAACGAGAAGCUGAAGUCUCGACUGCAGGACAGCAAGCAGGAGCUCACUAAAAUCCGCUCGCAGCUUGACAGAGUCACACAGAAACAGGACAGAAUAUCAGAGAGGUCUUCUGUAUUUGAAUCAGAGAAAAGGGAAAAAGAAGCUUUGGAGAAGAGGGUUUCAGACAUGGAAGAAGAAUUAAAGACGUUUCCCGCUCUGGCUCGGCUGCAGGCUCUCCGCAGGGGGAACGCACGCCUCCUACUGGAGAACAAAGCCAUGCUGCGCUCCCUCGCUCGCCUCUCUCAGACGGCCUCUCUCCCCGAGACGGACGAUCUCUAGUCCCGCUCUCUGUCUGUCCCUGUCCCUUGCUCCACCCUGUCCUCCUCCUCUGUCCCGCUGCUGCUCACCUCUCAGGUUUUGACAGAACUCAAGUCUGAUAACCAGCGGCUGAAAGAUGAGAAUGGAGCCUUAAUCAGAGUCAUCAGCAAACUUUCCAAGUGAGGACGACUGGUCGAAGAGGAGGAGAAAUCUGAGAUCUUCACGCUGACUUCACGUCCACCUGCUCCAGGUUAAAGGGUUGGCCCCACAAAUAUAUAUAUAUAUAUAUAUAUAUAUAUAUAUAUAUAUAUAUAUAUAUAUAUAUAUUCUGUCAUAAUUUACUCAUGUCAUUACAAAGCAGCAUGGCGUUCUUUCUUCUCUGGAAAACAACAGA